rnacentral:rRNA from 1 species
UACAGAGGUGGCAAGCGUUGUUCGGAAUUACUGGGCGUAAAGGGCGCGUAGGCGGCCAUCUAAGUCAGACGUGAAAUCCCCCGGCUUAACCUGGGAACUGCGUCUGAUACUGGACGGCUCGAGUUUGGGAGAGGGAUGUGGAAUUCCAGGUGUAGCGGUGAAAUGCGUAGAUAUCUGGAGGAACACCGGUGGCGAAGGCGGCAUCCUGGACCAACACUGACACUGAGGAGCGAAAGCCAGGGGAGCAAACGGG